GGAGUUAGCCGGUGCUUCUUCUGCGAGUAACGUCACAGAUGUAAGGUAUUAACUUACACCCUUUCCUCCUCGCUGAAAGUGCUUUACAACCCGAAGGCCUUCUUCACACACGCGGCAUGGCUGCAUCAGGGUUUCCCCCAUUGUGCAAUAUUCCCCACUGCUGCCUCCCGUAGGAGUCUGGGCCGUGUCUCAGUCCCAGUGUGGCUGAUCAUCCUCUCAGACCAGCUAGGGAUCGUCGCCUAGGUGAGCCUUUACCUCACCUACUAGCUAAUCCCACCUGGGCUUAUCCAUCAGCGCAAGGCCCGAAGGUCCCCUGCUUUCCCCCGUAGGGCGUAUGCGGUAUUAGCAGUCGUUUCCAACUGUUAUCCCCCACAAAUGGGCAAAUUCCCAGGCAUUACUCACCCGUCCGCCGCUCGUCAUCUUCAAAGCAAGCUUUUGAAAUGUUACCGCUCGACUUGCAUGUGUUAGGCCUGCCGCCAGCGUUCAAUCUGAACCAGAUCAAAUUCNGA
rnacentral:rRNA from 1 species